rnacentral:rRNA from 1 species
UACGUAGGGUGCAAGCGUUAAUCGGAAUUACUGGGCGUAAAGCGUGCGCAGGCGGUUUUGUAAGUCUGUCGUGAAAUCCUCGGGCUCAACCUGAGAAUUGCGAUGGAGACUGCAAGGCUAGAAUCUGGCAGAGGGGGUAGAAUUCCACGUGUAGCAGUGAAAUGCGUAGAGAUGUGGAGGAACACCGAUGGCGAAGGCAGCCCCUGGUCAAGAUUGACGCUCAU